AGAGCGAACGCUGGCGGCAGGCCUAACACAUGCAAGUCGAGCGCCCGUAGCAAUACGGGAGCGGCAGACGGGAUAGUAACACGUGGGAACGCGCCCUUCGGUUCGGAAUAACUCAGGGAAACUUGAGCUAAUACCGGAUACGCCCUUACGGGGAAAGAUUUAUUGCCGAAGGAACGGCCCGCGUCCGAUUAGCUAGUUGGUGAGGUAAUGGCUCACCAAGGCGACGAUCGGUAGCUGGUCUGAGAGGAUGACCAGCAUCACUGGGACUGAGACACGGCCCAGACUCCUACGGGAGGCAGCAGUGGGGAAUAUUGGACAAUGGGCGCAAGCCUGAUCCAGCCAUGCCGCGUGGAUGAUGAAGGCCUUAGGAUUGUAAAGUCCUUUUAACGGGGAAGAUAAUGACGGUACCGUAGAAUAAGCCCGGCUAACUUCGUGCCAGCAGCCGC
rnacentral:rRNA from 1 species